CCAAACGACCCCAAACCACUACAAGAAAAUGGAGUAUAUAUUGACGCUUUUACUAUGACGUUUUUAUGAAGGGUCACAAUAUUUUUCUGGUCAGGAAAACUAAAAAUGUAUAUAUUGACGCUUUUAGAUGUCUAAACAAAUAUUGACCAUUAAAAAAAUCACAAUAUACCAAAAUAAACAUAUUUUAUAACACGUGUUACUCCCGCUCAUUUGAAAAUUUCAGAGAUAACUCCCUGCUACACGGCACCCACGAAAUUCCCAACCGUCUCCACUCUCAAACAACAGACUCGCUGCUCCCUCUAUUUUUCAACACAAAAUCCCAGAAAAUGCUCAAAAAUUUCCCAGAUAUUCUCAUUAAAUUAUCUACUCGAUUUUAAUUCUCUCAUUCUUUCAAGUACAAAUGGAAAUCUGGAGAAGCCUGUAAUUGCAAGCGCAGUAACGGAGCCAUCGCAGUGCCAUAACAGAGCUAUCGCCGCCCCAUAACAGAGCCAUCGCUGCAAAUUUCGCCGUUUUCUCCUUAUAUAUGAACGUCCAACACUCAACAAAUCCUACAUCUUUCCAGAUGUGCUAGUCUAGUCUUCCAGUUUUAGUCUUCUGAUCUGCAUUGAUCAACUACUUGUUGGAAGCUUGUAGCAAAUUGUUCCUCAAAACUGAACUAUAUGUUUUGUACAUUGGACUGUAAUAUCUAUCAAAACUCAGAAGUGAUCAGAAAUAUGAGAUGGGGCUGAAGUUAAAAGAGAAGAAACGAACUAGUAGCUGAUAUGGAGAAAAGAUCCUUGAAACUGGAGGAUUUAUUGAUUUCCGCUAAAGACCAAUCUUCAGCACGUCAAAUACGGCUGACUAAGUUACAUAAAGGUUUCCAGGAAGUAAAGGAGUGUGGGGAAAGACUGAAAAGUUCUGAAGAGAAACACUAGAUUAACGAUGAUUCAGGUGGAAAAGAUAACAAUUAGAUCAAGACAUUGAAGCUCCGGUCUCAAUCAUAGGGGAUUUAGGAACAACCAUUUUUUAUGUUACAAGAACAAAUGUUACGUUAGUUGGAUAAUCCUAAGAAGUUAUUUUUAUUUCUAGUGUGAUUUAAUAGUUCAAAAAUUUGAUGUACGGAUCUAUAAUCUAUUGCUAUUUUGAUUAUUGGACAA